rnacentral:lncRNA from 1 species
AUGGAAAACUAGAACUUGUCAAGUGAUGAACAGCAAGAUGGGAAUGCUUCAGAAUUGGACCUUAUUGAAGAACAGAAUCCAGUAGCACAUGAUGAUGGGAAUGCAAAUCCUGAAGAAAUAGUUGGAGAUACAUGAUCUCCAGUACAAAAUAUUCUGUAAUAAUUUGAAGGUGACAUUAACAAGACACUUCACAUAAAGAGAAAAUGCAUGGAAACUUAUAUCAAAGAUUCUUUCAAAGGCAGCAACCAGAAAUUAGAACAACUUUGGAAAAUGAACAAACGGGAGAGAAAGAAGAUCAACAACAAAUUUUGUAUAUAA